UACAGAGACCUCAAGCGUUAUCCGGAAUCAUUGGGCGUAAAGCGUACCGAUAGGUGGUUGUACAAGUCAGAAGUGAAAUCUCCGAGCUCAACUCGGAAUCUGUCUUUUGAAACUGUACGACUAGAGGGGCAAAGAGGAAGCUGGAACGAACGGUGUAGUAGUGAAAUGCGUUGAUAUCGUUCGGAACACCGAUAGCGUAGGCAGGCUUCUGGGUGCCACCUGACACUGCUAGGACGAAAGCGUGGGGAGCGAAUGGG
rnacentral:rRNA from 1 species